UCCCUGGUGGUCCAGUGGCUAAGACUCUGCACUCCCAAUGCAGGGGCACAAGUUCAAUCCCUGGCCAUGGAA
rnacentral:tRNA from 1 species